CCCUUAGAUGUUCUGGGCUGCACGCGUGCUACACUGAUAGAAUCAACAAGUAUACAACCUUGUCCGAAAGGACCGGGUAAUCAUUUGAAAUUCUAUCGUGGCUGGGGAUAGACGAUUGCAAUUAUUUGUCUUGAACGAGGAAUGCCUAGUAGGGGCAAGUCAUCAGCUUGCCCCGAUUACGUCCCUGCCCUUUGUACACACCGCCCGUCGCUCCUACCGAUUGGAUUGCCCGGUGAAAUCUUCGGAUUGUGAGUUUGUUCAUGGCUAGUUCGCUAGUCGUGACUCUUGUGAAAAGUUGAUUAAACCUUGUAAUCUAGAGGAAGGAGAAGUCGUANCA
rnacentral:rRNA from 1 species